GACGAACGCUGGUGGCGUGCUUAACACAUGCAAGUCGAACGGAAAGGCCCUGCUUGCAGGGUACUCGCGUGGCGAACGGGUGAGUAACACGUGGGUGAUCUGCCCUGUACUUCGGGAUAAGCCUGGGAAACUGGGUCUAAUACCGGAUAGGAGCCAUUUUUAGUGUGAUGGUUGGAAAGUUUUUUCGGUGUAGGAUGAGCUCGCGGCCUAUCAGCUUGUUGGUGGGGUAAUGGCCUAGCAAGGCGGCGACGGGUAGCCGGCCUGAGAGGGUGGACGGCCACAUUGGGACUGGGAUACGGCCCAGACUCCUACGGGAGGCAGCAGGGGGGAAUAUUGCACAAUGGGCGCAAGCCUGAUGCAGCGACGCCGCGUGGGGGAUGACGGCCUUCGGGUUGUAAACUCCUUUCGCUAGGGACGAAGCUUUUUGUGACGGUACCUAGAGAAGAAGCACCGGCUAACUACGUG
rnacentral:rRNA from 1 species